rnacentral:rRNA from 1 species
CCUACGGGAGGCAGCAGUAAGGAAUUUUCGGCAAUGGGGGGAACCCUGACCGAGCAAAGCCGCGUGAGCGAAGACGUUAUUCGUAAUGUAAAGUUCUUUUAACCGGGGAGAAAGAGAAAUUUGACGGUACCUGAAGAAUAAGCCCCGGCUAACUACGUGCCAGAAGCCGCGGUAAUACGUAGGGGUCGAGCGUUAUCCGGAAUUAUUGGGCGUAAAGGGUGGGUAGAUGGCAUAGUAAGUCUUUUGUAAAAAUGCGGGGCUCAACCCAGUAGGGCAAAAGAUACUGAAAAGCUAGAGUAUGACAGAGGCAAGUGGAAUGAGAGGUGUAGCGGUAAAAUGCGUAAAUAUA